GACGAACCGUGCGAACGUUAUUCGGAAUCACUGGGCUUAAAGCGCGUGUAGGCGGGAGGGCACGUCCGUCGCUGAAAUCCCCCGGCUCAACCGGGGAACGGGCGCGGAUACGACUCUCCUUGAGGGGCGUAGGGGGACCUGGAACUUCCGGUGGAGCGGUGAAAUGCGUUGAGAUCGGAAGGAACGCCCGUGGCGAAAGCGAGGUCCUGGACGCCUACUGACGCUGAGACGCGAAAGCCAGGGGAGCGAACGGG
rnacentral:rRNA from 1 species